GACUCUUCUGUUAAGUAGUCCCCGCCUUGAAAGUGGGGUUAGGGCAAAGACAUGUCCAGGAGUUU
rnacentral:tRNA from 4 species